UACGUAGGUGGCAAGCGUUGUCCGGAAUUACUGGGUGUAAAGGGAGCGCAGGCGGGGAAGCAAGUCGGCUGUGAAAUGCAUAGGCAUAACCUAUGAAUUGCAGUUGAAACUGUUUUUCUUUGAGUGGAGUAGAGGUAGGCGGAAUUCCGAGUGUAGCGGUGAAAUGCGUAGAUAUUCGGAGGAACACCAGUGGCGAAGGCGGCCUACUGGGCUCUAACUGACGCUGAGGCUCGAAAGUGUGGGGAGGCAAACAGGAUUAGAUACCCU
rnacentral:rRNA from 1 species